rnacentral:rRNA from 1 species
UACGUAGGGGGCAAGCGUUGUCCGGAAUUAUUGGGCGUAAAGAGCGUGUAGGCGGCCAAGCAGGUCCGCUGUGAAAACUCGAGGCUCAACCUCGAGACGUCGGUGGAAACCGUUUGGCUAGAGUCCGGAAGAGGAGAGUGGAAUUCCCGGUGUAGCGGUGAAAUGCGCAGAUAUCGGGAAGAACACCCGUGGCGAAGGCGGCUCUCUGGGACGGUACUGACGCUGAGACGCGAAAGCGUGGGGAGCGAACAGG